rnacentral:misc_RNA from 1 species
AGGAAGUAAAAGUCGUAACAAGGUUUCCGUAGGUGAACCUGCGGAAGGAUCAUUAGUGAAUCUAGGACGUCCAACUUAACUUGGAGUCCGAACUCUCACUUUCUAACCCUGUGCAUCUGUUUUAAAAUUGGCUAGUAGCUCUUCGGAGCGAACCACCAUUUUUCACUUAUACAAACACAAAGUCUAUGAAUGUAAACAAAUUUAUAACAAAACAAAACUUUCAACAACGGAUCUCUUGGCUCUCGCAUCGAUGAAGAACGCAGCGAAAUGCGAUACGUAAUGUGAAUUGCAGAAUUCAGUGAAUCAUCGAAUCUUUGAACGCACCUUGCGCUCCUUGGUAUUCCGAGGAGCAUGCCUGUUUGAGUGUCAUGAAAUCUUCAACCCACCUCUUUCUUAGUGAAUCUGGUGGUGCUUGGUUUCUGAGCGCUGCUCUGCUUCGGCUUAGCUCGUUCGUAAUGCAUUAGCAUCCGCAACCGAAACUUCGGAUUGACUUGGCGUAAUAGACUAUUCGCUGAGGAUUCCAGACUUGUUCUGGAGCCGAGUUGGGUUAAAGGAAGCUUCUAAUCC